GUCAUACUACGGUGCAAAGCAGGAAAAAGUAAACGAUGACCCAUAAUGAACUCUACGUUAAAAUGCGUAUCAAAAUGCAAAACCAAUCCUGACCCGGCUAUCACUGCCGGUCAGGAUUCUU
rnacentral:sRNA from 1 species